GAGCCAGUAGUCUAGCCUGGUAUGAUGCGCGGUUUGGGUCCGCGUGGUCGGGAGUUCAAAUCUCCUCUGGCUCA
rnacentral:tRNA from 2 species